UUUACCAUUUAAAUAAAAACAAGCAUGAUAUUGACAUCCUCAUCGUCCGAACCGUAAAGAGCUACUUACAAUAAAAAUAGGUACUGUGCAAUAACUGUGAAAGAAGAAAAAGGAUGCGUGUUUUUACCAACAAAACUAACAAAAGCAGACGUAUAUUUUGAGCAUUGACCGUGAUUUGUACAGAAAAUGACUCAAUCCCCAAGAUCUGUCCGUUUUGUAAAUUUAACCAAAGGCACAACGUCAAAGGAAUUAAUACAACAUAUAGAAGAGACCGUUAUCCUUAUAAGAGACAAGAUCGAAAAGGUUCAUAUGGGUAUGGAUUACCGUUUACAGUUAGUAUUUGCCUACGUCAUAUUUAAUAGCCAUGAGAACGCAGCACGCGUUGUGGGAUGGAUGGAUAAAACUACUUGGAAAGAUCUUUCCCUAAAUGUUGAACUCGUUGGUCCGAAUCUCAAAUACACUGAGUACCAUACUAAGGCGAUACCUCAACCUCUAAAGAAUUCUAGAAUCCAAAGACCAUUAUCGUAUCAAUUGACUUCUAGAAUCCAAAGACCAUUAUCGUAUCAAUUGACUUCUAGAAUCCAAAGACCAUUAUCGUAUUCGAUUGACCAUUGACGGUGAAAAAUAAAGUCGUAGACAUGAUUUAAUUAUGUACUUUAAAAGGGAACUACAACGUUCAAGGGGUUUUAUCGUUUCAUAUGGUCAAUGGACCUCUAAAUAUCAAAAAACCCGCAGAGUGCUACCAUUUAAGGGGCUGCGUUUUUGAGAAAGGGGUGAAUUAACCCCUAUGCACUAGGUGCAUAGGGUGAGCUCUAUGCACUUUUCGUAUAUACACAUCUACAGAAAAAUUGUUCCAAAAACUAUAUUUAAAAAAAAACGAAACACGAAAGAAAGCAAUUUUGUUUUUUGCCCCAUAACUUUUUUCCAAGGGGAUAUAUAGGAUAUAGGUAUAGGCAUUGCUGCACAGAAAAAAACUUCCAUCCUUCCUCUUUAAAAGGAGGUUUCAGAAGUCUUUAAGAUUUAUAGUUUUCGAAAUAUGAUUUUUCAAAGUUCGCCACUCACAGUAUUUUUGGGCCAUUUUCCUUAUUAUUUCGCAAACAUUGUUCUGUAACUAUUUUCUACGCAUCUUUAGGUAUAUGCAAUGGUACAUUUGAUAGGAAGCGAAGUCAAUUACCUUUAAAAUGGUCUAUUGUAUGACUAUUUUUAAGCAAGAUAUGGUUUUUCAAAGUUUUAAACUUUUAACGAUUUUUGAUGUUUUACGAUUAUUUUUUAAAUUCCUCAUUAUAACUUUUGUUCUUGUACAUUUAGGUUUAUAGGUAUGUUGCUUAAUAAAAAAGAAAGCAUAUUUUCUUUGCUCUAAAAUGGUGCACUGUAAGAAAUUCUAGGACUAUUUUUAAAGAAGAUAUCCGUAGGAUAUCCAGGGGUAUCCGUAAUUUGAGAAAAAUUUUAAAUUAUUUUUUCAAUUAGAAGAAUAUAAAUGUAUAUUAGCUUUUCUAUGCACCAGAGUGAGUUCUAUGCACUUUUCGUACAUACAGAUCUACAGAAAAAUUGUUCCAAAUUAAAUAUACAUACUAUCAAAAUAUCCUCGUUUUGAGUCAAAAAUAUUUUUUUUACAAAAAUCUAUUCAAAAGAAAGCAAAAAAAACGAAAGAAGGCAAUUUUGUUUUUUGACCCAUAACUUUACUCCACGGGGAUUUAGGUAUAGGAAUUGGUUCAUAGAAAAAUUCUUCAAUUUUUCCUCUUUAAAAUGACGUUUGGUAUAAAUCUUUAGGAUUUAUAGUUUCUGAAUUAUGAUUUUUCAAAUUUCACCACUUACAGCAUUUUUGGGAAAUAUUCCUUAUUACUUCGCAAGCAUUGUUCUGUAACUUUUUUCUACGCAGCUUUAGGUAUAUGCAACGGUACAUUUAAUAGAAAGAGAAGUCAAUUACAUUUAAAAUAGUCUAUUGUAAUUUUAAUAAGUAUGUUUUACGAUUAUUUUUUAAAUUUCUCAUUAUAACUUUUUUUCUGGUACCUUUAGUUAUAUAUACACUCACCGGCACAAAAUUCCGCCACCCAAAAUUUUUGAUUAAGUUUGACAAUUUAUAAAUACGGGGUUGAAUGGAAGCCUUGUAUUUCCUCCUAACUUUAAAAAAAGAAUGUGUGUGUACUUUGUUCGCAUGUAAGAAGUUAUACUUCUAUUAUAUGAUUUCAACGAAAUAAAUAUACUUUAAACAGUUUAUUUGUAUUUUAUUUAAAUAUUAAACUAAUGUUAAUGCUUACUACUUUCCAAAAAUAAAAAAAAGAAUAGGAAUGGUUCGUAUUUGAACCCAAGACAUCUCGAUCUGUAGCCAAAUGCUCUACCAAUAACGCCACGACCUCUCUGUUUAUAUAGUUUCUCGGAUAUAAUGACAAUUCACGGUAACAAACAGUCGAAGUGAAAUACAUAAUAAUAAAUAUAAAAAUGUUUUAACAAUACUUAUCUUACUCCCGAGGAAGACAAAUCCAAGGACACAAACAUUAUAAUAAAUAUAUUUACUAACAACACUAAUAUAUUCUUUUCACACCUUUUUUGUACUGAUAUAUACAUAACUUAAAAGAUUUAGCAACUAACGCCAUACUGUCUGUGUGCGCAUGCGCGCAGAAUAAUAAAAAUUCACUCCCAAUCGCGCCGAAAGAAGUAUAACUUCAAAAAUUCUGUGGAAAAAUUGGAGGGCUGAUUUUGUUACAUACUCCUUUUGUAUUAUCCUGGAGAUAUUCCUAAGAUUUUGCUUUUUGAUUUAUCCCAAUAUCUCUUUUCUUGUAAGAGCUGUACAAUUUUUAGUAAAUAAAAACACUGACUCAUGAACAUAAAUAUCUUAAAUAGAGGUUGGAUUGACAAUAUCAGAAUGACCCGCAUGCAGCCCAGAUCUCAAUCCAAUAGAGCAUUUACAGGAUGAAUUAAAAAUAGCUAUUCGCCGUCUCCUAGGUCUCACGAAAAUUUGGUACAGUUUUGGCCCUGGUAGAGGAAUAUCGGGCUAUUACCCAGGCAAUGAUAACACAUCUUUAUUCGAUGCCAAACAGAUUGCGAGCAGGCUUUGUUGCGAGAGGUGGACAUACCCGCCAUUGAAUUGUUUUGUUUUGUUGUUAAUUUUGUUUUGUGUUGUUAAUUUGAGUGCGUUUGAUAUUUUUAAUGAAGUAAACCUUCAAAGCAGUGUUUUUAUUGGCAGCUUUUAAAAGAAAAGAGAUAUUCGGAAUAUGUACCAAAAUCAACCCUCCAAUUUUUCCACAAAAUGUUUUAAAGUUAGGAGAAAAUACAACGCCCCCGUAUAAUGCAAUCUAAGCAAAAAUUUUUGCUACUGGAAUAUUAACAAACGACACGAAAAGAUGUACCUACAAACUGAUGCAAGAAUCUUGAAAAUCGGAGUACAAAUAAUAAAGUUAUAAAUUGUCAAACUUAAUCAAAACUUUUGGGUGGCGGAAUUUUGUGCCGGUGAGUGUAUAUUGCUCAAUAAAAAAGCUUAUUUUCUUUACUUUAAAAUGGUGUAUUAUAAAAAAUUCUAGGACUAUUUUUUAAUCAUCAGAUAUCUAAAUUUAUCAAUAGUAUACCAAGUAUGUUAAGAAAUAUGAAUUUCGUUCAGGAGUAAAGUACCUUUAUAUUUCACAAUAUUCAAAAGUGUAUCAAGAAAAGCUAAUACACAUUUACAUUCUUCUAAUUGAAAAAAUAAUUUAAAAUUUUUCUCAAAUUACUGAUGCCUCUGGAUAUCCUACGGAUAUCUUUCUUUAAAAAUAGUCCUAGAAUUUCUUACAAUGCACCAUUUUAAAGCAAAGAAAAUAAGCUUUCUUUUUUAUUAAGCAAAAUAUGUACAAGAACAAAGGGUAUAAUGAGAAAUUUAAAAAAUAAUCGUAAAACAUAUAAAAAAACAUAUCAAAGAAAAUAUACUUUCCUUUUUAUUAAGCAACAUAUAAACCUAAAUGUACAAGAACAAAAGGUAUAAUGAGAAAUUUAAAAAAUAAUCGUAAAACAUAUCAAAAGUCGUUAAAAGUUUAAAACUUUGAAAAACCAUAUCAUGCUUAAAAAUAGUCAUACAAUAAACCAUUUCAAAGGUAAUUGACUUAGCUUCCUAUCAAAUGUACCAUUGCAUAUACCUAAAGAUGCGUAGAAAAAAGUUACAGAACAAUUUUUGCGAAAUAAUAAGGAAAAUGGCCCAAAAAUACUGUGAGUGGCGAACUUUGAAAAAUCAUAUUUCGAAAACUAUAAAUCCUAAAGACUUGUAAAACAUCCUUUUAAAGAAGAAGGAUGGAAGUUUUUGAAGUUAUACUUCUUUACGAUCGAGAGUGAAAUUUUAUAAUGCCGGGCGCAUGCGCACACAGACAGUAUGUAUUUCGUUGCUAAUCUUUCAAGAUAUGUAUGUAUGUAUCAGCGCUGUCAGCGCAAAUAAGUCAUAUUAUAUCAUAUAAAAGGAUAUAUUAGUGUUCUUAGUGAAUGUAUUAUUUAUUAUAAUUUUUGUGUCUUUGGAUUUGUCUUCCUCGGGAAUAAGAUAUUUUAUAAUAAUAGUAAAUAGUAAGUAUAUUUAAAGUAUUUUUGUAUACCUCACUUGGUCUAUUAAAUUUUGUCAGUAUGUAUGAGAAAUCUUGUAACCUGUCAAAGCAAAAGGUAUAUAGCUCAGUGGUAUAGCGUGUGACCGGAGAUCAAGAGGUCCUGAGUUCAAAUCCCGGACGAUUCAUAUUCUUUUUUUUUAUAUUUUUGGUAUCGUUUUAUAAAUUUUUUUUAAAAGUGGUAGGUAAAGAAAGUUAGUUUAAUAUUUAAAUAAAAUACAAAUAACCUGUUAAGUAUAUUAAUUUCGUUGAAAUCAUAAUAAUAGAAGUAUAACUUCUUACGUGCGUACAAAGUACACACACAUUCUUUUUUUUCUGUGAAGCAAUGUCUAUACUUAUAUCCCCUUGGAAAAAAGUUAUGGGGCAAAAAACAAAAUUGCUUUCUUUCGUUUUUUUGCUGUUUUUUAAUAUAUUUUGGAACAAUUUUUCUGUACAUGUGUAUGUACGAAAAGUGCAUAAAGCUCACCCUAUGUACCUAACCUAGUGCAUAAGAGUUAAUUCACCCCUUUCUCAAAAACGCACCCCUUUAAAUGGUAGCACUCCGCGGUUUUUUCAUAUUGAGUGUUCCAUUGACCAUAUGAAAUAAUAAAACCCUUUGAACGUUGUAAUUCUUUUUAGCCCUCUUAUUAUGAACGUAAUCAAUAGCCUAAUAAGUCAACAUAAUUCAAAUGAAAUAUUUAAAAUAUUAUUAAAGGAUUUAUGUAAGUCUAUAUUUAAUAGUAUUUUGAUGUACACCUACUUUUUGAUUAAUUAGUCAUGUGCAUCUGUUGUAAAUAAAAUGAUGUUGACUUGCA